rnacentral:rRNA from 1 species
GUGCCAGCCGCCGCGGUAAUUCAUAGGGGGCGAGCGUUAUCCGGAAUUAUUGGGCGUAAAGGGUGCGUAGGUGGUUUUUUAAGCGCAGGGUCUAAUGCACAGGCUUAACUUGUGUCCGCCUUGCGAACUGAAGGACUUGAGUGCAGGAGAGGAAAGCGGAAUUCCUAGUGUAGCGGUGAAAUGCGUAGAUAUUAGGAGGAACACCAGUGGCGAAGGCGGCUUUCUGGACUGUAACUGACACUGAGGCACGAAAGCGUGGGUAGCAAACAGGAUUAGAUACCCUGGUAGUCCACGCCGUAAACGAUGAGCACUAGGUGUCGGAUCCGCAAGGAUUCGGUGCCGGAGUUAACGCAUUAAGUGCUCCGCCUGAGGAGUACGCACGCAAGUGUAAAACUCCAAAGGGAAUUGACGGGGGACCCCGCACAAGCAGCGGAGCAUGUGGUUUAAUUCGAAGCAACGCGAAGAACCUUACCAGGGCUUGACAUCCUUCUGACAGAGCCUUAAUCGGUUCAUUCUUCGGACAGAAGAGACAGGUGGAGCAUGGUUGUCGUCAGCUCGUGUCGUGAGAU